UACAUAAAUAAAGUUUUUAAAAAAGAUAGUAUUUUAUCUUAUAUGUGGAAUCUGGAAAAAAAAAAAAAACACUGAUGGAUACAGAGAACAGAUUAGUGGUUGCCAGAGGUGAGAGUAGGGUGUGCAGAAUGAGUGAAGGGAGUGGAAAAAAUACGUACUUCACACUUUAAGCUAUAGAAUAAGUCAUGGGAUGUAAUAUUCAGCACGGUGGCUCCAGUUAGUAAUAUUGUAUGUUUGAAAGUUGCUAAGAGAGUAGAUCUCAAAACUUUUCAUCACAGACAAGAGAUUUUGUAGCUAUGGUGAUAUUAACUAGACUUAUUUUACUGAUCAUUUUGCAGGAAAUAUCUAUAUUGUACACUUGAAACUAAUACGUUAACUGUAUCUCUAAAAAAGUAAAGCAAGUAGUGGGAUUGUGAGGUGUCAGUGAGAAACUGAAAUUUAAGUUUAGUGUCAAUGGAAAUCCUCACAGAAAAAUCUGCUUUUUUGUAAUAUAUAAUUUCUAUUUUAACACUGAUAGACUAUUUAGAAAAAGCUCUUGGGGCACCUGAGUGGUUCAGUCAUUUAGGCAUCCAACUCUUGGUUUCAACUCAGGUCAUGGUCUCAGGGUUCUGGGAUUGAGCCCCGCCAUCGGGCUCCAUGCUCAGUGAGGAGUCUACUUGAGAUUCUCUCCCUCUCCCCGUCCCUAUGCUCACAUGUGCGCCCGCACUCUCUCUCAAAUAUAAAAUCUUAAAAGAAAAAGCUCUUCUAAAAACUUACCUUUUUGACACAUGACAUUGUAUCAAUUUCAAAUGCACAACAUAAUGAUUCAAUAUUUGUGUAUGUUGAGACAUGACCACCACAAUAAGUCUGGUUAAUAUCUGUCACCUUACAUAGUUUCUAGGAAUUCACUUUUGAAUAAUAUUUGAAGGAAAUGGAACUAGCACAUGAAUCUCUGGGAAAGAGAAUUCUGAUAGAGGAAAUGGCUAGUGCAAAGGCCCUGAAGCAGGACUGUGCCUGUACAGCUUAAGGAACAGGGAGGAAGUCAUUGUAGCUGAGUGUAAGAGGAGUAGGAGAUGAACCUGGAGGGUAGAAGAGACCUUGUAGGUCUUGGUAUGGACUUUGGCCUUUAUUUACUCUGAGCUGAAGGGUCUUUGAGAAGUCUAAGCAGAGGAAGGAUAUACUCUCACAUAAUAGCAGGAUACUGAGUAGAAUGAAGAUGAACAGCAACAGCAAGAUCUAUGGGGAGACUUGCGGGUAAUCCAGAUGAGAGGUGAUGGCAGCUUGCGUGAGUGUGGUAGCAAUCUGGAUGUAUUUUGAAAGUGGAGACCGUGGUAUUUCCUAACACUGGAUAUGGAUUAUGAGAUAAAGAGAGCAGUGAGGGAUGAUAGCAACAUGUUUGGCCUGGGCAACUGGAAGAAUGGAAUUGCUGAUAAACAAGAUAGGGAAAAGCAGGAGGGACUAUCAAGAGCUCAGUUUUGAAUAUUUUUAAAAAAUAUUUUAUCUAUUUAUUAGAGUAAGAGAGCAUGAGUGGGGUAGGGGGAUUGGAGAGGAAAGGCAGAGAGAGAAGCAGACUCCCCACUGAGAAGACAGCCAGACUUGAGGCUCAACCCCAGGACCCUGAGAUCAUGACCUGAGCAGAAGGCAGCCAUUUGACCAACUGGUGCCCCCAGUUUUGAAUAGGUGCCUCCAGUACCUAUUCGGUACUAUUAGGUACUGAUUACCUAAUCGGUAAAUCCGAGUUACCUAUUAGUCAUCUAAGUGGAGAUGUUCUGAGGCAGUUGGCUAUAUGGGUUUGGAGUUCAUGGGAGAGGUCUGGAUGGAAAAUAGAAACUUAUACAUCACAAACAUUCUCUCAUAUUUCACAAUCUGUGUAGCUCAAGAAUCCAGGCGCUCUGACCAGGCACUUUUGUGCUUUGUGGCAUCAAUUGAGUCCCUCAGAGGUAUCUAGCUGGCUGGUCUAGGAGGGUCCAGACAGAUUGACUCCCUCAUCUAGUAUUUUGGCAAGGUUGGCUCUGUGACCAGAGCACCUAUGUGCAGCUUUUGUAGCAUGGUAUGUGUCAGGGUAGUCAGCCAGUGGUGGCUGGCUUUUCCCAAAGUGAACAUUCCAGAAGAGUUGGAAAGAAACUACAUGGCCUUUUCUACCUAGCCUGGGAAAUCAUGCCUCGUCACUUCACUCGCUGGGUUAUAAACAAGUUAAUAGGCCAGCCUGGAUUCAAGAGGGAAGGAAUGAGCUUCCACUUCUUAAUGGAUGCACGGCGGUGUCACACUGUAGGAAGCCACACAGGAUGAGAGAGAUCUUUGGAAGAUGAUUGACCACAUCCCUCUAUGGCUCACACCCAAUAAUAACCACCACCUCCAAAAAGAGCAUGUCCUCCAUUUGCAGCCUUGAUGAAAAUCUCCAUGAGGAUCUUAACCUAGAGAAUCAGUCCCCGCCACCAUCAGUCACCUAAUUAAAAUCACCCAGGUUGAGAUGUCCAAGAAAAUCAGUUUUCAGUGGACAAUCUUUGUUCCUUCCAUAUUAAAAGAAAGACAGAGAGUGCAUGGAGGGGCAGAGGGAGAGGGAGAAGAAGAGAAACAGACUCCCCACUGAGCAGGAAGCCCAACGCCAGGCUCCAUCGCACAACCCAUGAGAUCAUGGCCUGCACCAAAAUCAAGAAUAGGAUGCUCAACCGACUGAGCCACCCAGAUGCCCCUUGUUGCAUAUGUUUUAAUAAAUCAUGACUUUGGGGAACGUGUCCUUCAUCCCUUAUAUGCUGAAGAAGUCUGUUGUAAUAUUAACUGCAGUUAAACCAAAAUGAAUCUUCUUAUGAUGAAUGCAUUUGAUUGACAUUUGUGUUUAACACAGAUUUGUUUCACUUAGGGCUGUAUCUUGCCUAUUCCAUAAAACUGGAGCAUCUGAUCUGUUCUGCUCCCCUGUUAAAAGGGAGACAGUCAUGUGUUGGCUUCUGUAGCCUGUCUGUUGUGGUUUGGGGGUGAAAGAAAACCAAGAAAUAAACUUUCUAAAUGA